rnacentral:misc_RNA from 1 species
GGGGAGAGGGGGAGGAGUUAAAAAUUAUUGAAAAAUCAUAAACCAGGGUUCAUAAUUGUGCCUCUUAUCAUAAAAAAAAAAUUAUCCAAAAUUUCAAAAAAAUAUUAACUUUUCCCCCUUGUCUUCUUUAUACUAAUUGGAAAGCAGUGAUUGCUCAUGCUUUUGGCAAGAAUGGUGCAUUGCCUUUAAACAAUUCAGAAUUCAGAUCAAGUGAAACAGCUAUCUCAAUUUCAUGGUACAAUCAAUCAGUCACAACAUCAGAAAUUAUUUGUCAAAUGUUUCAUAAAAUUGAUAUCUACCAGAUAUAUCUCAUCUGCAUCAUAUACUACAGCACUGAACUUUAGUAUCUAGUACCAAAAUCACUUCCACAGAUCCAAAAUGAUAAAUUGGUAAAUUCUUUCUUUAAUUAAUGAAGGCAAACUCAGAAUACAAACUUCAACUGCAUCCUCUUAUUCAUCACAGUUUCCAUCUUAGACCAUUUACCACAUAGGUGUUGAAAGUUGCUGUCAACAAUAUGAAGACUGGGUGGUUUAUACAUUCCUUAGUUCAGGCCAUACUUAAUGUUAAAAGCAUACAAGAAAGCAAAUCACAAAGAGAAUGAAAUUAAAAUGAACAUAUUCCAUUUUAAAAAACUACAAAUUAAGAAACAUAACAAUUCAAUGGCAAACAAUGAGCUCCAAAGAAAAGCAAUAAACAAGAAUUCCUCCACUUACAUCUUAUUCCUCAAUCAUUUAUCAAAAAUUGCAAAACCAAUUAAGGGAAAAAAAAAAAGGACUCAAAUCCAAUAUAAUGGGUUUGGCUUACUAAUACUACAUAUUUCUUCAAUAAUUUUAUCCACAAAAUCUUAACAAUACAAUUAUUAUUAUUUUUUUUUUUUGAAGAAAUAAAUCCACAUUCAUCAUUUCUCCAUCAUUAAAAUUAUUUGCAGUUUUCAAAAGAAAAAAAAUUACCCAAAUGCUAAAAGUUUGACAAUUCUUGUCUUUAGUUUUGUCAGAAGUCAAACAAAGCCUUAGUUUCAUUUCCCAUAUUCUCCAUGCUAGCUCAGCAACCAAACAAAAGAUAAAUAUAUAAAUAAAAACUCAAACAGAAACAGAAACAGAAACAAACCUUCAUGCAAAGAAAAACCUGGUCUUGCCUCUGAAACUCAGCAAGAACAGCGACAAGAUCAGACUUGAGCAAGCGAGAAACAUGGGAUUUCAUGAAUCGAUCAAGCCGGAGAGGGUCUGAUUGGAGUCGCUUGAGCUCCUUGGCCACAAUUAACCCUUCUUUGCCCAUCUCUUUCUUCCGCCUCCAUAUAGACAAGCUAGGCUUGGAAGCCAAAUUUGAAAUGUGUUGCAAAAGAACAAGCAACUGAAGUUGCUGCUGCUUUUGGUGUUUUAUGGAAGUGAUUUUAGAAAACUGAUGGGUCAGGAAAGGAAGGUUUUUGAGAGGGGAAUGGGAGAGUGAAGGUGUUUUAGAUGAUGAUGUUCUCCAAAGAAAAUUUGAAGCAAUACGCCACAUAGAACCGGGAAGCCUAGCCCUCUACUAUAAAAUGUUCUUCUACCUCCUUCCCAAGGAAGGAAAGCAACAAGUAUGGAUCUCAAUUUAUCAAGUGCAGAACUAUAAGAAACAAAUGGGGUUCAGCAAUUCAACCUCUACCUCAAAGAUAUUGGAAUAAAUUCAAUUCCAUCACAUUGCUAUUGGAGCUUAUCAAUUUUCCAGUCCUAGCCAUUAACAAGAUCCAUAAUUUUGGUACCUCAGUUUCACAUUUUUUUUUCCUUCAUAAUACCAAGUUAAACCAAAUAAAAACAGAAAGAUAUAAGGCAAGAAAGGAGAUACAUGCAGCGGUGCAAGGUAGAUGCUGUGAACAGUAUGGACUGUGGAGACUGCCUGCAUCAAUGAGAAGAUUUUAACUUGAACUACUGGCAAUCGACAGAGGUGAUCGAUAGAGGGAAUCAAUUGGAGGCAGAAAGAACAGAGACGGACUGGAGGCCGAGAGAGGUGGUGGAUACUGGCGAGGUUAGUGGUGGCCAGAAGGACUGAAGGAGAGGAAGUCAGGAUGAAGGAGAGAACCUAGAGAGACUGAGUCUGAGAGGGUGAGAAAGGGGCAAUAGGGCAUACAGCAG